UACGGGGGGGGUAAGCGUUGUUCGGAAUUACUGGGCGUAAAGGGCUCGUAGGCGGCCAACUAAGUCGGACGUGAAAUCCCUCAGCUUAACUGGGGAACUGCGUCCGAUACUGGAUGGCUUGGAUUUGGGAGAGGGAUGCGGAAUUCCAGGUGUAGCGGUGAAAUGCGUAGAGAUCGGGAGGAACACCAGUGGCGAAGGCGGCUACCUGGACCUCGGCUGACGCUGAGGCGCGAAAGCGUGGGGAGCGAUCCGG
rnacentral:rRNA from 1 species